rnacentral:lncRNA from 1 species
UUCCUGAGCUAUUUGAAAUAUUCUAUAAAGCAGAUUGGAAGAAAGGGUUUUAACCUUAGCUAAUGGUAAAUCCAGUUAAUGCCGACUAUAUCUAGUAUAUUAGCUCUAACACUGAAUAUGAGUCAGAAGCUGAUAUCUAUUGAAAUAAACCAAGGACUAUGCAAUAUGCCACUGUUUGGCAGGAGACUGGAUAUUGAAGACAUGUUGCUUAUAGCCACCUACUCUGACAGCCAGAAGGCACUAAAAGCCAUUACUGCGUGUAAUUCCAGUUACCAGCAAGUGAUCGGUAAAGUCCAAAGCCUUUGGGGUUGCAUCAAGGCCCUGUUAUACACUAGCAACAUUAACAAAACUUACCCUUGUUUGAGUACUAGGACAUACAGGGCAGAGGGGCCGAUUAAUUGGCCAAGGAAGGAUCAAUGAGGACACCGAUCGGCCCUGAACCCUUUUGCUUCAAAUUGCCAAAAAGUACAUAAUGCAAUAAGUCCUCAGUUAAAUUGAUUUUUACUCCAGGACAGAGGCGAGCAAAGUUCGUUUAAACCUAGCAUGUGCUAGGGCCAGAAUGUUAGUAGGACUGCUGACUCCGGAGGUCUACUAAGACCUAAAACAUGUUACGACUAUAAUGACAGUAGGACUGUUGAAUCCGGAGGCCUACUAAGACCUAGAACUGUCAUGAUUAUAAUGAUAGUAGGACUGCUGAUUCCGGAGGCUUACCAAGACCUAGGACGGGACGUUUAUUGAAACGUUUCGAAAUAUAACGUAAGAUUGCUACUUGCGCAACAAGAAUCAGGAACAAAGCACGACUGGUUGAUAUUUGACAAAAAAAACGGUUGUCACGUUUGUUGAAUUUCAACAAAACGUGUGCGUGAGAUAAGUUAAUUAUUGAAAAGGUAGAGUUGCUAGACUAUCGUACCGGUCAUAUCAUGCUACGAAAUCGAGCCUUUAAUGUAAUAUAAUAACGGAACACUUAAGGACAGAUAGGUGAAAACUUACCGAAGCUUACACUUUGAGCAUAACUGUAGGCCCAUUAAAUUGUACGUUCCAACUUCCAUAAUCAAAUUAUCGAAGAAAGAACAAAACAAAUGAAAUGUAACUAAUUGUAAUUACGUUGUACCUUUUGGCCGUUUAAAGUAGUGAAUUAAAAGUCGAAAGAUUAAAACGUCUUGUUAUUAGCCCGGUAAUUAGGGAAAACAUUCUCUUUGUACCGUUUCAACUAUUUUCGCCCGUCUAUCUCUCCAUGUGUUGUUUCCCUCUGGUGUUAAAACCGAACGAAGCGUGAAUCCGCCGCGAGUUCAACUUUUCGUCCUUAGCAAUUAAAAAAGCAGUAAAUGUUAUAGCGAAAUGGUAAUUGCUCGAAUGAGACAUUGUGAAAUUAAUGGGUAUUGUAUAAUUAGCUGUGGUAGAACAGGGCUACCCAGUAAACCAGAUGACCCCCGAAAGGCUUGGGACCCUCGAGGAUGCCAUCAUGCUGGCCUAUAAGAAAGUAUCGGCUGGAGAAUCGCAGACGUUGGAUUGGAAAUUCAACAUAUGCACACACAGGUCAGGAUAUAUGGUCAUAACCUAUGAGGAUCAGGUUAGUGCUGACUGGCUAAGGGCGACCGUCCCAGCGCUGAAGCCGUGGAAGGACGCAGUCCCGAGACUUUGGCAGGGGACGACUUACCCAAGCCAAUUCCAGCACUACCUACAUACUGGAUCCCAAAACCGGAAGACUGGCGGCAGAGAGGAUUUUGGCUAGGCUAAAGACCUCAAACCGGAAGCUAAAUACACUGGGGAGAAAUCCAGCAGUAGAAGUGUAAACUUUCUUCAUGGACAACAACUCCUUUCAGGAGCUCCAGAAAGUGGACAUGCAUUCCACCUUGGAAUGGGAAGAAUUCGAUUCCUCGAAAAGGUAAGGGCGAAGAAGACGAAAGUCGAAAGGCUCAACUCGCACUUCCAACCACAGACGAAGAAGCAGACUCAGCAAAGGAGGCUAAGGAUUACACAAGCCCGCUCAAGAAGAUGCAAGGCCAACAGCAGGUAGAUCGAAUGGAGGAAGGUAUCCACACAGGGCCAUCCACUUCCGCCUAAUGUCAGACGGACAGGGAGGAAUAACAGUACUCCAUGUCAACCUCCAGCAUGCAAAGGCCGCAUCGAGCACACUGUGCAGGAGGUUUGACGGGGGGAGGGCGUCACCCUGAUCCAAGAACCUUGGUUGUAUAAUGGGAUUGUGAGAAUAAUAAACCUCCAACAAACACAGCUAUCCUAACAGCAAAGGCUGCGGGCGGAGAAUCAAGAUGGCUAAUCUGCUCAGCCUAUUUCCCAAGAGAAGUACCGUGCAUACCCAAGUUGCUGGACGACAUCGUGAGGUACUCCAGGGAACAAAACAUGAAACUAGUCAUGGGAUGUGACGCAAAUUGCCACCUUGUUGUAUGGGGUAGCACCGACAUCAACAACCGAGGUCUUUAACUGCAGACACCAUGGUACCAGCGAAUACUUCUCACACAUGAAUCCCAAAAGCUGCUGGUUUCAUUCGGCUCAUAAACCGCAUGCUGAAACUAUUAUUAACACUAGCUAAAUAUAAAAAAGAGUUACAUACAAUUAA